rnacentral:rRNA from 1 species
GCGACAGGCUUAACACAUGCAAGUCGAGGGGCAGCGGGGGUAGCAAUACCCGCCGGCGACCGGCGCACGGGUGAGUAACGCGUAUGCAACUUACCUAUCAGAGGGGGAUAACCCGGCGAAAGUCGGACUAAUACCGCAUGAAGCAGGGGCCCCGCAUGGGGAUAUUUGCUAAAGAUUCAUCGCUGAUAGAUAGGCAUGCGUUCCAUUAGGCAGUUGGCGGGGUAACGGCCCACCAAACCGACGAUGGAUAGGGGUUCUGAGAGGAAGGUCCCCCACAUUGGUACUGAGACACGGACCAAACUCCUACGGGAGGCAGCAGUGAGGAAUAUUGGUCAAUGGCCGAGAGGCUGAACCAGCCAAGUCGCGUGAGGGAUGAAGGUUCUAUGGAUCGUAAACCUCUUUUAUAAGGGAAUAAAGUGCGGGACGUGUCCCGUUUUGUAUGUACCUUAUGAAUAAGGAUCGGCUAACUCCGUGCCAGCAGCCGCGGUAAUACGGAGGAUCCGAGCGUUAUCCGGAUUUAUUGGGUUUAAAGGGUGCGUAGGCGGCCUUUUAAGUCAGCGGUGAAAGUCUGUGGCUCAACCAUAGAAUUGCCGUUGAAACUGGGGGGCUUGAGUAUGUUUGAGGCAGGCGGAAUGCGUGGUGUAGCGGUGAAAUGCAUAGAUAUCACGCAGAACCCCGAUUGCGAAGGCAGCCUGCCAAGCCAUGACUGACGCUGAUGCACGAAAGCGUGGGGAUCAAACAGGAUUAGAUACCCUGGUAGUCCACGCAGUAAACGAUGAUCACUAGCUGUUUGCGAUACACUGUAAGCGGCACAGCGAAAGCGUUAAGUGAUCCACCUGGGGAGUACGCCGGCAACGGUGAAACUCAAAGGAAUUGACGGGGGCCCGCACAAGCGGAGGAACAUGUGGUUUAAUUCGAUGAUACGCGAGGAACCUUACCCGGGUUUGAACGCAUUCGGACCGAGGUGGAAACACCUUUUCUAGCAAUAGCCGUUUGCGAGGUGCUGCAUGGUUGUCGUCAGCUCGUGCCGUGAGGUGUCGGCUUAAGUGCCAUAACGAGCGCAACCCUUGCCACUAGUUACUAACAGGUAAAGCUGAGGACUCUGGUGGGACUGCCAGCGUAAGCUGCGAGGAAGGCGGGGAUGACGUCAAAUCAGCACGGCCCUUACAUCCGGGGCGACACACGUGUUACAAUGGCGUGGACCAAGGGAGGCCACCUGGCGACAGGGAGCGAAUCCCCAAACCACGUCUCAGUUCGGAUCGGAGUCUGCAACCCGACUCCGUGAAGCUGGAUUCGCUAGUAAUCGCGCAUCAGCCAUGGCGCGGUGAAUACGUUCCCGGGCCUUGUACACACCGCCCGUCAAGCCAUGGGAGCCGGGGGUACCUGAAGUCCGUAACCGCGAGGAUCGGCCUAGGGUAAAACUGGUGACUGGGGCUAAGUCAUAAC